rnacentral:lncRNA from 1 species
AAUCCUUAUUUGCACAAGUCGAUGUCAUAGAUUUAAGAGUGUGGGCAUCAAUCGAUGUCGUAGAUUUGAGAGCGUGGGGAAACCCUAACCUCUUUGUCUAAAGAUCCAGCUCCGAAUCUCUAUCUUCAUCAUCGUCAUCAGGUGAUAUAUUUUUAUGUUGGUACAUUUAUGGUGGUUUAUUUGUGUUAAAUUUUUUUUUCACAUUGAGAAAGGAGGGUGUGUCGAAGCAUGACUAUGAAAUUUACAAAUUCUCUUUUUCUUUCUGUACAAAACUUCACCUUUCUCUCUAAAUUCCUCUCAAUUAAGGACUUCUUUCGGAGAUUUGAUGUAGCUGCUAAUCUUUUGUACUGUUUCUCGAAAACCCCCCCUUUUUUUUUUGUUGGAAAAUGUUCUCAGAUUUUGAAAGUAAGAAAUUUGUUUAUUUUUAAUAUUGAAAUAGAAACCCAAUUGCAGUAAUGAAUGAAGAUGUUUAUUAUUAUUAUUAUUAUUAUUAUUAUUAUUAUUAUUGUUAUUGUUAUUUGUUAUUUGUUUGGUUAAUUUAGAGGUUUGCGGGUUGGUUGAUUAUCUCCAGAAAUCAUUGAUCUCAAAAUUUGUUUUUUUUUUUUUUUGUAUUAAUAAAUUGAAGAUUUUUUUUUAUUAGUUUUUUGUUUGGCUAAUACAGAGGUUUGUGGUUUGGUUGAUUAUCUCUUAGAAAUUGUUGAUCUUAAUUUUUAAAAUUUUUUUUUUGCAAAUUCUAGGAAUAUCUACGAUUGAUGUGAUUUUGUUUCUUUUUCUUUUUUAAUGCUCUGUGGUGCUAGGUUUAAGUUUUUUACAAAUGUUUGGGUGGGCAUUAUUGAAAUUAGUGGGUUUAUUUUGAGAAAUUUAGUUUUCUGGCUGAGGAAUUUAUGCUUCUGAAACAACAAGCAUUCAGUUGAGGAAUUGUUUUAGGGUUAAAACCAUACUAGAUUUUAAUUUUGUUGUUUCUACAUCUUUUAAAGAAUGAUUUUAGGCGGUUAGAGUGUGUUCUUUUGUUGUUUUAAGGUUUUUAGGUUGAAAAUUGAUAUGGAUUUAUGUUUAUUAGAUUGAGUUAGAAUUUUUCCCACGAAUUUAUUUGAGAAGCCAUGAUAUGUAAUUGUGUUUUGAGAUGGUUUUAUACUAAUUAGUUUUAUUUGUGUCUAUUUUUGUGCAUUUAUCUGAGAAUUUUGUUUUUGGUUUUAUAUUUUUCAAAAUGGUUUUUGGUUCAUGACUCUUAGAAUUGGAAAGGUUUAAGCUAAGUAGGAUGAGUUAGCUCUUUUACUUUGGAUUUAUUUAAUAUUCAUUUUUUUUAGGGUUCUGCUUUUAGGAUCGGAUUACAUUUGUGAGUCUUUAAAUUUGAGAUGACUCUUAUUUUAUUUUAUUUUUUUUCAAAUGGUAUUGUGGUUUUCAAACUACAUAACAGAUGUAGACAUAGGCAUUAUCGAGGCUUGGAGACCAUUGAUGCAGUUCUUUUGAUUACAUUACUUUUUACCUUAAUUCAGGAUUGACUUUUGCUCAAAAAUAUUGAUUCUUCAUUUUGGUCUCCUUCAUAGUUAAUGUAAGCAUCACUAUUUCUACAUCUUUGUUAUCUUUGUAAAUAAUUUUUUGCCUUGAAUUGUAUAGCAUACUCAUAUAAUUCAAAGUUGCAAAAGUCUUGACCCACAAAUUACCAUCUCAUGUGGAUUUGGGAGAUAAGAAAUUUACAAGUUGAAAUACAUUGAGCUUUGAUAAUUCUUACAUAUUGAAAACCUUUUUAUUUAUACAAUAUAUUCUGAUGGCAUUUCAAUAUUUAUGUUUACAUUUUGUUUUCUUUUAAAUUUUUAAGCAGAUUCAUGGGUCACAAAGGCUACCAUAGGCUUCAGAAUUAGACUUUAAUAUCUAAGAAGCAUUCCCUUAUUAUAAUACGAAAUGCUUUUGGAAGCUGGUUAUAGAAUUCCCGGGGAAAUGCUUUUAAAUAGAACCUUUUUUUCCCUUCAAUUUGUUACUUUUAGGAAGAUUUUAACUCAAGUCAUAAAAUUUCAUAUGAAAAAAAUUGACAAAUCCUCUUUUAUGUGAAAUUAUGGAUUUUAAUUAGUGUUUUUGACAACCCUAAUAUUAGGAAUAUUAUUGUUUGUGUUGGAAUACUCAAUUUUCUCUUCAAAUCCUUGAACCCAAUGUACCAUCUCAAACAUUUCUUUUUGUUUUACAAAUGAAUGUUGGAAAUAGGAUAGACUGAUGAAGGCCAAAGAACCAAGAACCAAUUUGGGGUAGAUUUGGAGAUCAAUCACUGAAUUGUUAAGAUGAUUUCUUUUUCUAGUUUCAUUUGAUUUUGAGUAGAUUUAGUGGCUAUACUUAUAGUAAUAAAUACACAGUACCCUGCUUUUCAUGGUGAUCAUGUUAGACUAAGAUUUUUUUAUCAAUCUCUACAUGUGGCUUAUGCUAAGAAGUGAAACCAACUCACGACAGACUCCAUUUUAGGACUUUAUUGAAUGAUGGAUGGACCUGAACUUAAGCAUUUUUCAUGUCUCGAAGUUAAAAGAUUCUUUUAUAUGUUUGUUUUAUAAGUUUGUAGGAAAUUUGAGUACUAGUUAUUGAGUAUAAAUUUUAUGCUCAAAUGGCCUUGCAAGAAAGUUUAGCUAAAUUCAAGAAGCAACAAGAGAAGUGUCGAUUGACUCUCACUAGCAUUGCAACCGAAGCAAGAUCCCCUGAGCCUAGAGUACCUUGAGAUGCAUGUUGGAGCAGUUGAGCCUAGUGAUCAUGCUUUGGUAGCGAUGAUGUAAUUACUAUUGGUGGUGGUCUUUAUGUAGCUAUGAAUUUACUUGUUAAUCAUUUUGUAAAAGUUUGAACGUUAGCCAUGUAUUCAAAUACUUUGAUCCACUAGUUCUUUUAGAAAUGUUGGUGUUUUUCUCUGUUAUUUUAAGGUGUAUAUUAGUUACUGCUAUUAGUGGAAAGAAUAGACACACUUGAUUCCUACAUCUUCAUCAUGGUUGAAAAAAUUAUAUGAUAUUACAUGAUUUAUUAUAAAUUUUACUCUCAAAUAUCAAAGAUGUGUAAUUUAAUUCAGUUGGUUA